GCCGGGUGUGGUGGCGGGCGCCUGUAGUCCCAACUACUCAGGAGGCUGAGGCAGAAGAAUCACUUGAACCUGGGAGGCAGAGGUUGCAGUGAGCUGAGAUUGUGCCACUGUAUUCUAGCCUGGGUGACAGAGUGAGACUCUGUCUCAA
rnacentral:SRP_RNA from 1 species